UACUUCAAAAAAUAAGUUCUCUCUACAAAAGCAGGAAGCUUGCUCUGUCUCCUUUCCCACAACAAUCUGCAUUUUUGGGGAAAUGCCAGCCUUGGGACUCUUCCUGUCUUUUCAUUAUGACAGAAAGCUCAUGGUGUGUUCAAAAAUAAUCAACAUUAGGAUUUACUUCUUUUUAAACAACUGAUGAUACAAAGUUGUUUAUAAACAGGUAUUAUUAUGUCCAGAUGCUUUUGCGUCUGAGGUUGGGACAGAGGUCACAUGAAAUCACAUGAAAACCGGUGAUGACUCCGAGCCAACCCGUCAUUAACAUUCAUGAUUUUUAUUUUCCUCUCGGGCAGAGCCUGCAGGAGCGGUGGCAAGACAAAGGCUACUCAGCCAUAAAACCGAGCCCUUAGCGUGUCUGUGCGGUGGGAAGGGGCACAGCCCCAGGACCCGCAGGGGGAACAAAGCCUACAUGGUGUCUGCUGGGAAAAGCUUGAAUCAAAAGCACUAUAACCGAUACAUCUGAAAGCAUCCAGGGAUUUGGGGCUGCCCAGCUUCGGAAGCGUGACUUGCAGAAGUUUGCUGUUGCAGUGGCGGAUGGAAUGUCUGUAUUGCCCUAACGAGACACUAAGCCAAAUCCAACCCGUUGUAGCUGCAGAAACAGAGGGGAAGACUACAAGGGACAGAGGAGCUCUUGGAAAAGAGGAUCAGGCUGAGCCAGACCCACUGCUGGAAGGAGAGGAACCCAAGGCUUGCCGAGUCACUCCCGUUACGGUUUAGCCCCUGCAGAGCUGUGGUGCCCUACGCCGCCGUACAGCCAGGUAACUGAAGGGCUUUCUGCCCGGUGGGUGCUCGUCUGGUGGAGUUCUGGGAACAGGGUUCAGUACAUGGGUCCCUGCUCAGCUUCCGACAAACCAUCACUGUUGUGCUGCCCCACAGAUUUCCUAGGAAACUUAAAAAUACAGGAUCAGCAUCUGCACUGGGAGCUCUGGCUUAUCCAGAGCCCUCCAGUCACUGUUCUGACUGGGGUAAACCAACAGUUUUCCCCUGCAGCCACCAGUAGCGGUGGUGUGAGCAUGUCCCCCCGUGCACGUGCCAUCGUGCUCAGCCCCUGAGCACUGCAGAGGUCUGAAGGGCGGCAGGAGCUGCAAGACGGGCGGUUGCUUUCAAGCCUCUCGUCCAACUGAGGCAUAAUCAAAGCUGCAUUUCUGAUCAUCUAACCAGUGCUUUGUCCCAUGCAUUCCUGCCAUUACUCUGAUGCAUGCAAUGGGCUUUUCUUCAGCUGGGAUCAAUGAAAAUCUGCCCUGAGCUGGGCCUGGCAGCAGGAGCUGAGGGUGACGGGUGGCACUAGGUUGCAGGCAAAGCUCCUCUUUGUUCAGGCAAGAGCUCACCGAUGUUUCUUGCAAUGUCAUAGGUUUCUGUGCUUUGUGCAAUGCUCCUCACUUGCGGACAGGUCUGAGUUAUACCCUGCUCCACGCUCCCACAGAUCCCUCGCUGCCCACUCCCGCCGUGUUAGCACGGCCAGUACGGAGGCAGCGUGGUCCCUAAUGGCAAACCCUGGUCACACACUCAUGGGGCUUGGAGCAACUGCUGGGUGACGCCACAGGCAGAGCGGGAAGCAUUUGUCACUGGAAGCUGACAGCACCAAAAGGCUUGUGAAUAACAGGAAAGAGGGGGAUCAUGCUGUAUAUUUCUGACGGCUCCACCCGGCUGUCCAGGAGGGGCUGUGCUUGCUGAUAGCUUCUAGUUUCCUCCAAGCAGCACGCACAGGCUAUGGGCUGAUGGCCACAGGUUGCCCCAUACCUCCCCCGAACCGUGCCGCUCUCCGCAGAGAAGUAUUUUGACUACUUCAGCCCAGGAUAAUUAGCGCUGCAUCAGUAAUGGGGGGGGGGAUUCAUUUCAUGAUGAUGAUGCUUCCACCCUCUCUCUUCUUCUAGGGGUAUGGGCUGGCUUUAAAUGCAAACUUCACAAAGCGUGAGGGAAUGUUUGCACAGCAAAAGCAUCAAAAGCUAGCAUCUUCAAACUGACCCCAAACAUUUAAUUUGGCUUAAAAGGAAAUGCUUUUAUUUAGGCUUCAAAGUUCUUUCACUUGUUGUUUGACAGCUUCCACUUUCUUUCAUCUUUCUAAAUGUAGGCAAAUUUCAAAACAACAACAGUUCAAAACAAAAGAUCAGAAAGCUUUGUCUGAGAAACGCCAGGCUGAAAUGAUUCCAUCUAGAUUUCCACCGAAGCCAUUCACUGAAUGAAUCCAAAUGGUCAAACUUUUGGUCACUUCCAGUUUCUUUUUUUUGGUGUUUUCCCUCCUGCAGCCUCAGCUGGGAGGGUGCGGAGGGCCAUGCUUGGCCAGUGCUGGCAGCCUGAGUUGCUGGGCUGUGCCGCUGAGCACCAUGCUGGCACUGGGCUGUGCCGCUGAGCACCGUGCUGGCACUGCUGCAGCCAGUGGGCUGGGGACACGCAGCUGGUCCCCUCUCGCUUGGAAGCUGCAUUCCCCAAACCAGCCGCAGAACUGAGGAUGCUGUCAGUUAUAAUUAAAUAAUGCUCUCACCUGGUGUCAAAUUAAGCCGGCAUAAGCACUCUUGCAUCUCUAUUGACAUGGACUUAAUGAUGCAACAAAACAAUUUGGUUUGCUGUGUUCCUUGCUGAGCAGAGUGGGAAUGCUCUGCGCUGGCCUGCUACCUUUCAGAUUACACUGGUUGCAUUUCCAGGGGUAUCUGAGCCCUUCAGAUGACAUCAGGCUGGACAAGAGAUUGGCCCCUAUGUACCACAUUGUCUCUUGGACACGUGAGAGCCACAGAGUAAGCCUGGAGCAGAGCCUCCUCACUGCGGGGAGCCAGGCGCAUCCCUCAGCCAUGGACAUCUGGGCAUCCCUUCCGAGCGGGUCCCACCUCCGUUGCAGGACAGUGAGGGCAGGCCAGCCUUGCACAGGCUGGGCAAGGGCAGAAGACUCUGCAGCGGCAGCCGUGGGCAUCCCUUGCCCCCAUCAGCCUGGGUGCUACCUGGCAUCCUGGCAGCUGGAAGAGGUGCUGGUCUAUGGCUACAGCAGCCUGGAGGUGCUGUGUGAAGAGGGGCAAGCUUCCCCAGCAUCUAGGUCACAGCUGUAUUUAUACAGCUCAAAAAACAAAGAAAGAAAAGUGCUCUGGGGCACAGAGCUUUAGCACUCAGCCAGCAAGGAUAUUAAAAAGAAGGGGAGAUAAGCUCCCAAGAACUUCGUUUCCUCUUCACCUUCUUUCUAAUUUAUUCCCUUGUUUAUUUAAAUGCUCUGCUUUGGGGAGGCUCCAUUUCACAAAUGAUUUAAAGGAAUUUCAUGGGCAGCCAGAGCUGUCAGACAAGACCAAGCUGGCUGCAAACCCUCUGGAGUGUGACAGAGAAUUUAGGUAACUUUAUUUUAUAAAAUCUCCUUGCGGUCAAACUCUCCUGCUCUGGUCCUUUUCUGAACUCUCUGCCAAAAGGCCAGGGCGCUGACUGUUUGAGGACUGUGCAAAAUAGACAUCCAUCUUCCGCUGUAUGUGAGACAGCUGGGGGGAGAGGCUGCUCUGCGGGAUCGUGCCUCACUUGUACGGGCUCGACAGGCAAAGUUAGCAGAAGUGGGCGAUGGCUGACCUUCCUCAUUGCUUGGGAGGGUCUGGCAUGCUGGGGAGGAAUGAUGGUUCAGGGCCUGGGCAGAGAGGUCACGGUGAAAUUAUCUGCACAGCAGACAGCACUUCUCACUUGGCUUCCUCCCACCCAUCUCCCUUUCCGAUCCAUCACUGUUACCGCAACGAAUGCCCUGAACAGAAAUCCCCGUUGUGCACCAUCGGAUGUUUUUGCUGUGUGACCCUUUCCGCCUAGUCUGCCCUUCUCCAGCCCUUUGCUCAUGGGGCUCCUUGGCCCAUCUCUCUGUCAUGAAUCACCUCUCCAGUUAGGUCUUUCCUUGGUGCGGGAGCCACUGCAGUGGGCAGGCAAGGCAGUGACCUGUCUGCAUGCUGGUAGCCCAGGGCUUUGGGCAAUGUGCUGGGGUGAGUGCUUGCCAGCAUCCACUACAGGAGAAGGUGCACAGAAGGGCUUUUCAUCCUCCUGUCAGUGGCACAGUGUAUCCAGCAAGCAGAAAAAAGAGGGAGUCUGGAGCGGGACAAGCUGCUGAAAAUAUGCCUUUGCAGUUUUGUUCCAUCACAGCUGCACUGGCGAGGUAAGAUGGGAGCUCCGAUCCAGCCCGGCAAGGAUUUGGAUCUGUGCAUUAGCUCCCUGCUCACUCGUUAUUUGACAAAGCUGACUGGAGAGGACAGGACAGGCCUGGACAGAAACGAGCCACCCCUUAGACAAGUUCUUUCCACAUUCUGGUGCCCCGAUGGCAGUCCAGCAGUUCCCAGGAACAGGAAUAACUCGACCUUGAGAAGAAAACAAUGUUCUGCCCCCCAUCCCGUGUGUCAGACAACAAUGACUAACUUCACAACCUUCAUUUUAGGACCAGAAUUGAGCCCGUCCUCUAAUCUGGGGCUUUUUGAAACAUCAGAUCUCCAUGAGCCAUUAGCCAUCCUCACCCAGACUGGAUAUAUGUGAACUGCUUCAGGAUUUAACUGCUAUGAAAAGAGCUCUUAAAAACCGCUUGCCAUGAUUUGCUGCUUACAACAACAGUUGCAGGGGAGAUUCUCUAACUCACUGGGAUGUGUCCCAG